GAUUCGUCACACUAUCAUUAACUGAAUCCAUAGGUUAAUGAGGCGAACCGGGGGAACUGAAACAUCUAAGUACCCCGAGGAAAAGAAAUCAACCGAGAUUCCCCCAGUAGCGGCGAGCGAACGGGGAGGAGCCCAGAGCCUGAAUCAGCAUGUGUGUUAGUGGAAGCGUCUGGAAAGGCGCGCGAUACAGGGUGACAGCCCCGUACACAAAAGCGCAUGUGCUGUGAGCUCGAUGAGUAGGGCGGGACACGUGGUAUCCUGUCUGAAUAUGGGGGGACCAUCCUCCAAGGCUAAAUACUCCUGACUGACCGAUAGUGAACCAGUACCGUGAGGGAAAGGCGAAAAGAACCCCGGCGAGGGGAGUGAAAAAGAACCUGAAACCGUGUACGUACAAGCAGUGGGAGCCCCACCACUAAGCCAGUGGUGAACUCCACAUCCGCAUCCUUUGCUGAGGAUACGGUUAACGGAGCGAAAGCGACGUUCAACCGCAAAACAAGCAGAGGGGGCUUAGUGGUGGGGUGACUGCGUACCUUUUGUAUAAUGGGUCAGCGACUUAUAUUCUGUAGCAAGGUUAACCGUAUAGGGGAGCCGGAGGGAAACCGAGUCUUAAC
rnacentral:rRNA from 1 species